GCCCGCCUGUCUUCACCAGGGGGCGCCUGUAGGCAGAGGGCACAGCCCCUGUCCCGAUCGCUGGCCACGCCUGCGGGCAGCGCAGUCCCGGUGGGUGGUGACUAAGUCGCUUCUGUCCUAGGCUGGCAGAGUGCCAGGCUCAGCUCUUCUCGCUCCAUGGGACAUGGCCGCCCAGGCCGCCUUGCUGGGGCUCAUCUAGGAGUGGCGUUCCUCAUGUCGCCCUGAAGGCCAGCUCUGGACCUCCCCAGGAAAGUGCCACCUUGCAGAGCUGCUCCUCCGGAGCCCCGACCCUUGGGACACCCUCCAGCCG
rnacentral:lncRNA from 1 species